AGCGUUAGCGUUCUCCGAGCCCGAUUACCUGUGGCCAUGGCUAUGGUUUUCGGGCCGGCAGGGUAUACCGGGAAACUGGUGUGCCUCCCAGUGCGGAAAGGAGAACACUGCCAAGCUUU
rfam:Desulfotomaculum kuznetsovii DSM 6115, complete genome.